rnacentral:rRNA from 1 species
CAGCAGCCGCGGUAAUACGGAGGGUCCGAGCGUUAUCCGGAAUUAUUGGGUUUAAAGGGUCCGUAGGCGGGCGAUUAAGUCAGUGGUGAAAGUCUGCAGCUCAACUGUAGAAUUGCCUUUGAUACUGGUCGUCUUGAGUUAUAGUGAAGUUGCCGGAAUAUGUAGUGUAGCGGUGAAAUGCAUAGAUAUUACAUAGAACACCGAUUGCGAAGGCAGGUGACUAACUAUAUACUGACGCUGAGGGACGAAAGCGUGGGGAGCGAACAGGAUUAGAUACCCUGGUAGUCCACGCCGUAAACGAUGGAUACUAGCUGUCCGGAACCUUGAGUUCUGGGCGGCCAAGCGAAAGUGAUAAGUAUCCCACCUGGGGAGUACGUUCGCAAGAAUGAAACUCAAAGGAAUUGACGGGGGCCCGCACAAGCGGUGGAGCAUGUGGUUUAAUUCGAUGAUACGCGAGGAACCUUACCAGGGCUUAAAUGCAUAUUGACAGGGGUAGAGAUACCUUUUCCUUCGGGCAAUUUGCAAGGUGCUGCAUGGUUGUCGUCAGCUCGUGCCGUGAGGUGUCAGGUUAAGUCCUAUAACGAGCGCAACCCCUACCGUUAGUUGCCAGCAUGUCAUGAUGGGGACUCUAACGGGACUGCCGGUGCAAACCGUGAGGAAGGUGGGGAUGACGUCAAAUCAUCACGGCCCUUACGUCCUGGGCCACACACGUGCUACAAUGGCAGGUACAGAGAGCAGCCAUGUCGCAAGGCAGAGCGAAUCUACAAAACCUGUCACAGUUCGGAUCGGGGUCUGCAACUCGACCCCGUGAAGCUGGAAUCGCUAGUAAUCGGAUAUCAGCCAUGAUCCGGUGAAUACGUUCCCGGGCCUUGUACACACCGCCCGUCAAGCCAUGGAAGCUGGGAGUGCCUGAAGUCCGUCACCGUAAGGAGCGGCCUAGGGUAAAAUUGGUAACUAGGGCUAAGUCGUAACAAGGUAGC